GGUAGUUUGACUGGGGCGGUCUCCUCCUAAAGAGUAACGGAGGAGUACGAAGGUGCGCUCAGACCGGUCGGAAAUCGGUCGUAGAGUAUAAAGGCAAAAGCGCGCUUGACUGCGAGACAGACACGUCGAGCAGGUACGAAAGUAGGUCUUAGUGAUCCGGUGGUUCUGUAUGGAAGGGCCAUCGCUCAACGGAUAAAAGGUACUCCGGGGAUAACAGGCUGAUACCGCCCAAGAGUUCAUAUCGACGGCGGUGUUUGGCACCUCGAUGUCGGCUCAUCACAUCCUGGGGCUGAAGCCGGUCCCAAGGGUAUGGCUGUUCGCCAUUUAAAGUGGUACGCGAGCUGGGUUUAGAACGUCGUGAGACAGUUCGGUCCCUAUCUGCCGUGGACGUUUGAGAUUUGAGAGGGGCUGCUCCUAGUACGAGAGGACCGGAGUGGACGAACCUCUGGUGUUCCGGUUGUCACGCCAGUGGCAUUGCCGGGUAGCUAUGUUCGGAAUAGAUAACCGCUGAAAGCAUCUAAGCGGGAAACUAGCCUCAAGAUGAGAUCUCACUGGGACCUUGAGUCCCCUGAAGGGCCGUCGAAGACUACGACGUUGAUAGGUUGGGUGUGUAAGCGCUGUGAGGCGUUGAGCUAACCAAUACUAAUUGCCCGUGAGGCUUGACCAUAUAACACCCAAGCAAUU
rnacentral:rRNA from 1 species